UACGAAGGGUGCAAACGUUGCUCGGAAUUAUUGGGCGUAAAGCGCACGUAGGCGGCUUGGCAAGUCGGAUGUGAAAUCCCUCGGCUCAACCAAGGAAGUGCAUCCGAAACUGCCGAGCUUGAGUACUUAAGAGGAUCGCGGAAUUCCCGGUGUAGAGGUGAAAUUCGUAGAUAUCUGGAGGAACACCGGUGGCGAAGGCGGCGUUCUGGACUGCUACUGACACUGAGGAACGAAAGCCAGGGGAGCAAACGGG
rnacentral:rRNA from 1 species